CCUGGUCUGGUCCUGGUCCUUGUCCUGGUCCUGGUCCUGGUCUGGUCCUGGUCCUGGUCUGCGCCCGGGCCCGGGCGGCUCUCCGGCUGGGCUCCUGAGCCUGAGCCCAGAGAACAGUCCUGCAGGAAUGAGCUCAGAACCUGGCUUCUCCCUCCGAGCUGCCCGGCUGCCUCCUGCUAUUAGAUUUGAUCCAGUGCCGGCCGCCCGGCCUCCCUCCCUGUGACAGGCAAACUGGCAGAGCAGGUGCCGCAGCUUUCUCGGCCAAUGAGGGACGCGCAGGCAGCCCCGCGUGCGAGGCGGCCGGAGCUGCUUGGAACCCGGACAGAAACACGCUUUGUGCUUCUCCGGUUUCCAAGAAGCCGGGAGACGGUGCCUGUGCCCGUGGGCAUCGUCCUGAACGUUGGCGCCGCCCUCAGGUCACCAGGAGCUGCCCCCACCGAUCCCGUGACGUGAACAG